rnacentral:lncRNA from 1 species
GGUGCUGGAGCCGGCGCGGUGGCCGGAGUAGGAGCCGGAGCCGCUACCGGAGACACAGCUGUCAUUGUGGACCCACCAAAUUCACUAGGGUUUUCGCUCCUCGCUGCCACCCGGUAGGUGUCCGGAGCUUCCUCACCCUUCACUGUAACCCCAGAAUUUAUACCCUCUGUUCCCUCCAUUCAAAAAGGUUUUUUCAUACCAAAAACCCUAAAACCCCAAACCCCUAUAAUCUAGGCAGCAAAGAUCCAAACUCUCUUCAAACCCAAACACCCAGAAGAAUCAAAAUCAUUUUUUUCAACGCAAACUCUCAAUAAACUCAACCUUGAAAAAUAAAAAAAAAUAAAAAAUAAAAAACCAGAGAAAAAUGGGAAAAAAAAAAAAAUUUAACCCCCACUUGAAACUCGAAGAACCCAAAAACUCCAACCAGUUUUCUUCAAACUCCAAAGAUCAAACCUUCAUUCCUUACAACCUAAGACAGUCAGACUUACACUCUGUAACAGACACUAUUCUAUGUAAUCACCACUGUUGCAGAGAUACACAGAGCUUCAAUGGUGACACUUAGAUUUUUUUUCCAGCAAAAAAUCAAAAAUUUGAUGUGAUUUCAGAAAUUCUACAAGGAUUGUGAAAUUAGGGUUUUGCAGGAAAAGAAGAAGGAAAUAAAGUAAAAAAUUAAAAUAAAAUUAAAAUAAAAUUAAAAUAGAAUUAAAUAUUGGGGAAUUUAAUUAAUAAUUAAUAUUUUAAAUUACAAAAUUCAAAGUAUAAAUUCUGGUUUAUAAAAUGGUUCACGUCCGUCUUGGAAAAUUAAGACAAAUGAUUUAAUAAAUGGCAAAGAUAGUAAAUUAGAAUAAAAAAAUAAGAAAAUUUGGGAAAAGAAAAUUGCUUUUUAAUUUAAAAUUCGCAUUUAUUUAUUUAAAGCUGUAAAGCAAUUGUAUUUUAUCAACCACUGACCUGUUUUUUUGUCUUUUCAGGUAAAUUAAAGUUGACUAUACAAGUUUAAAUCCCCUCCCUUUUCAAAUAAUUUACUGUUGCUGCCACUAUGGAGAGGCUGACAUGUGACACCAUAACUGCUACUUCCAGUUGCAGUUAUGCAGUCUGUGUUUUUCUCCCACAGGUCCAAACCCUAGAUUCAUUCCUUCUGGAUUUUUCCAUAUUUUUAAAAAUUAAAAUUAAUAAUAAUUUUUCUCAAUCUUAUUCUUAGUCUUACUAUUUUUUUUGGGUAGAUUUAUUUAUUCACAUUGCCAAAAAAGAAACUUUCAUUUUUUAAAAACUUAAUUUUUUUCACACCUAAUUUAUAAGAAAAAACCCAUGUGUACAUAUUUAUUUGGCUUGAAAUUUGGAUGGAAUUGUUGUUUUCUUGGAGAGCAACUAUUUCUAAUUUUUUGACUUUUGUAUCUUUUGACUUUUGCCAACCAAAUUAUGAAGGAGAUAUGAAGAAAGAAGAACACAAUCUUUGUCUAAUUAGGACAAAAGUCAUACACAAUAUAGACCAUAUCUAGAAUCCCAAAUAGAAAACUUUUUUUUUUUUUUUUUUUUUUUGGUUUUUUGUUUCAUACACAUGGGAAGAGAAGAAAGGAGAGAUUGAGAACAGAAACAGUUGGAACAACAUAAUCCUAGUCCAUACUCCCCAUGCACAUAUUAGAGAGAAGCCAAUAACACAAUUGACUCAUCUUCCACAAAAGUCAACAAAAAAGUGAAAGAAGAACAACACUUGGAAAGUCUUCUAACCAAACAAAAAUCAAACUUGUAUUGCAGUCUUUAGAUGUGCCUGGGGCAGCACAAAACCAGCUCUUCUUUCCUCAAAUGAGUACUCGGUCUCUUCUACUGGAUUAGCAUUGUAAGGGACCGGGGCUGGAGGGGGAGCAGGGGUCAUGGCUGU